AGUGAACGCUGGCGGUAGGCCUAACACAUGCAAGUCGAACGGCAGCACAGUAAGAGCUUGCUCUUACGGGUGGCGAGUGGCGGACGGGUGAGGAAUACAUCGGAAUCUACUUUUUCGUGGGGGAUAACGUAGGGAAACUUACGCUAAUACCGCAUACGACCUACGGGUGAAAGCAGGGGAUCUUCGGACCUUGCGCGAUUGAAUGAGCCGAUGUCGGAUUAGCUAGUUGGCGGGGUAAAGGCCCACCAAGGCGACGAUCCGUAGCUGGUCUGAGAGGAUGAUCAGCCACACUGGAACUGAGACACGGUCCAGACUCCUACGGGAGGCAGCAGUGGGGAAUAUUGGACAAUGGGCGAAAGCCUGAUCCAGCCAUACCGCGUGGGUGAAGAAGGCCUUCGGGUUGUAAAGCCCUUUUGUUGGGAAAGAAAAGCAGCAGGUUAAUACCCCGCUGUUCUGACGUUACCCAAAGAAUAAGCACCGGCUAACUUCGUG
rnacentral:rRNA from 1 species